rnacentral:piRNA from 1 species
UAGUUUAAGGAAAGGAGAUCACCCUCCUGA